UCGAUGGCUCAGAUUGAACGCUGGCGGCAUGCCUUACACAUGCAAGUCGAACGGCAGCACGGACUCGGUCUGGUGGCGAGUGGCGAACGGGUGAGUAAUGCAUCGGAACGUGCCAUUGAGUGGGGGAUAACGUAGCGAAAGUUGCGCUAAUACCGCAUAUUCUGUGAGCAGGAAAGCAGGGGACCGCAAGGCCUUGCGCUCUUUGAGCGGCCGAUGUCAGAUUAGCUAGUUGGUGAGGUAAAGGCUUACCAAGGCGACGAUCUGUAGCGGGUCUGAGAGGAUGAUCCGCCACACUGGAACUGAGACACGGUCCAGACUCCUACGGGAGGCAGCAGUGGGGAAUUUUGGACAAUGGGGGCAACCCUGAUCCAGCCAUGCCGCGUGAGUGAAGAAGGCCUUCGGGUUGUAAAGCUCUUUCGGCCGGGAAGAAAUCGCAUGGGCCAAUACCCUGUGUGGAUGACGGUACCGGAAUAAGAAGCACCGGCUAACUACGUG
rnacentral:rRNA from 1 species